rnacentral:misc_RNA from 1 species
AAGUCGUAACAAGGUAUCCGUAGGUGAACCUGCGGAUGGAUCAUUACCAAAGUUCUACACUUUGACGUACUGUGAACUGUAUUGAAUACUGUUGGCUGGCGCUGCUGUCUUAUGGGUGGAGUGACGCGUAAAACCGUCGCCUGAUCCCAAACGACGGCACCUGGCCAACGCACCAAGACGUAUCUUUCAGACUGAAGUCUCUUUACUAAAAAACGAGUAAAGACAACUUUUAGCAACGGAUCUCUUGGCUCUC